CUUUUCAAUGUAAAUAUGGGGUAAACACCAUGUAGGAAAAUAGUGGCUGAUAAAAUCCAAGAGGUAACCUCCUUCCUCUUCUUUUCCAGGACCCAAAAUGUUGAAAGCUCUCUUGAUGGAAGAAUUAAUAGGCUCUAGUUGCUGACUCAUGAAACCCCUAAAGAAGAUCAAGUCAUCAUUAUUUAUUUCCUUCAGAUGAGCUAUGAAGAAGGUAAUCUGUUGCCUGAGGGGUCGCAUGGUUGCUGAGCUAGAAUACUGACUCAUCUGCUCACAGUAAUUCUGGAAUGUUCUAAAAUCAGCUUUCUAAAUCAUUCAAACAGCCAUUCUGUGCAAGUUAAUUCAGAGAUCUCAACCACGGCCAAGAAGAGUAACUUGAUUUUUGCAUCACUAUCUUCCUUUCUGCAAAGUGAGUAUCAUUGCAGUUUGAGAGCAGAGAACAUUUUUUUCUAAACUGUGUUGUAUAGGACACUACUGAUCUUCGAGAUGUUAAUAGGACCCUGUGAACAAAAAUU
rnacentral:lncRNA from 1 species